GACGAACGCUGGCGGCGUGCUUAACACAUGCAAGUCGAACGGAAAGGCCCUGCUCUUGCUGGGUGCUCGAGUGGCGAACGGGUGUGUAACACGUGAGUAUCCUGCCCUUGACUUUGGGAUAACUUCAGGAAACUGUGGCUACUACCGAAUACGAGCUCCUGCUGCAGGGGGGGGGAUGGAAAUUUUCGGCGUUUGGGGAUGGACUCGCGGCUUAUCAGCUUGUUGGUGGGGUAGUUGCCUACCAAGGCUUUGGCGGGUAGCCUGCCUGAGCGGGGGGCCAGCCACAUUGGGACUGAGAUACGGCCCAGACUCCUACGGGAGGCAGCAGUGGGGACUAUUGCACAAUGGGCGGAAGCCUGAUGCAGCAACGCCGCGUGCGGGAUGACGGCCUUCGGGUUGUAAACCGCUUUCGCCUGUGACGAAGCGUGAGUGACGGUAAUGGGUAAAGAAGCACCGGCUAACUACGUG
rnacentral:rRNA from 1 species